GCAGAGUCAAACAGACGUUUGCACGUCUUCAUUGGAAAAUGAAAAAGCAGGUUCUUGUGAGUGAUUAGUUGCUUAACUGAGUGAACAGGCAUGCUACUGGGAGCUCUGUCAGACAGGAGAGUGACUAUUAGUGGAGUACCAGGAGGCAGGCGGAGACCUGGUAAGUCAUUCCACUUGCAAGUAGUAAAGAAGGAAAAACUGCCUGGAAGUGCUCACAGUCCACAGGAGUGUUUGACUUGGAGUUCAAAGGUUUCCUGGCAGCUAGAGGAGGAGCAGAAAAUACAGGUUACACAAGGUACAUUGGCCACACGUAUCCGUCGAAGUAGCCAGGAGGAUCAGGAGGUGUGUACACUCUUAAACUGUUGAAGACAGCACAGAAGUUGAAAAUGAGGAAGCCUUCCACUAUGAGCACGAACACCUCCUUAUCGACUGAUGGUGGUAUAAGCUGGCUCUCCAGGCCUUGCUGUCUGAAAAACGACUCGGGAUCUCUUCGCCAGGAGUCAACGUCCCUCAUCAUCAUCUGCAUGUGCAGAGCCUCGAGGACUUAAAUAGACCAGUGAGCAUGAUUUUCUUUCACAUUUAAAAUGAAAAAAAUUAAAUAACCGAAUGAAUAUUACAGUCAGCAAACUAUUGUUUGGAUACUUCUCCUUUAUUUUCUGCCAUCAUGGCAUUUUUAUAUCUUUCAGACUGUUGAUUGACAAAACUAGUGAUUGUUAAGGUGUCACCUUGAGUUCUGGAAAACAUUUUUACCAUUUCAUUUUAAUUUGAUUGCAAUGAAUGGAAAAAAAAAAAUCAGUACUACCCCACAUUACAAUACAUUACAAUACCCUGCAUUUCUUUUUAAAAAUGCUUAGAAAUGUUAUUGUAGUCAACCAACCACAUUUCUAUAUUUUAUAUACAUUUUUAUGUAAUUUUAAAACAUGUGAAGGGCUAAAAAUGAUGUAUUAAAGACUUCUUAAUGUCCUUACACUAUUUUUCCCAGUUAUUGACCUUAAUAGUGGUGCAUAUUAACACUUUCAGACUUUUAGCAAACUGGAGAAGUUUUUAAUUGGGAACUCGUAUAAAAAAAAUACCACAGGUCAUAUUUUCAGAUGGACAGAUGAACAACAUAUUCUCUUGUGAUCAUAAGUCUGGAUAUCAAAGAUGAACGUAGCCACCAAGUCUGAAAUGUGAAGCUGAAGGACAAAUGCCCUAAAACCUGCAACCUUUCUACUGACCAGUAGGGGGCGGUUUUUCUUGCUGCACAAAGAAGUCUAA